rnacentral:other from 1 species
UUCCCUGCGUAGUGCGUGUAGACUGGAAUUUUAGAACCAACAAUAGAUUAAAGGGAGUCCGCCUUUGGAUGUGGCGUGUAAGCUUACAUUUUAACAAUAGUAAGAAACCCAGAAGCAUUCAACAAGACACCCACCUGUGAAAACAGGCUCUUAAAAUUUCAUUCAUCUUACGGCUAAUGUGGGGUUU